rnacentral:sRNA from 1 species
UUCCGUAGGUGAACCUGCGGAAGGAUCAUUAAUGAAUUUUAGGACGUUCUUUUUAGAAGUCCGACCCUUUCAUUUUCUUACACUGUGCACACACUUCUUUUUUACACACACUUUUAACACCUUAGUAUAAGAAUGUAAUAGUCUCUUAAUUGAGCAUAAAUAAAAACAAAACUUUCAGCAACGGAUCUCUUGGCUCUCGCAUCGAUGAAGAACGCAGCGAAUUGCGAUAAGUAAUGUGAAUUGCAGAAUUCAGUGAAUCAUCGAAUCUUUGAACGCACCUUGCACUCUUUGGUAUUCCGAAGAGUAUGUCUGUUUGAGUGUCAUGAAACUCUCAACCCCCCUAUUUUGUAAUGAGAUGGGUGUGGGAUUGGAUUAUGGUUGUCUGUCGGCGUAAUUGCCGGCUCAACUGAAAUACACGAGCAACCCUAUUGAAAUAAACGGUUUGACUUGGCGUAAUAAUUAUUUCGCUAAGGACGUUUUCUUCAAAUAUAAGAGGUGCUUCUAAUUCGCUUCUAAUAGCAUUUAAGCUUUAGACCUCAAAUCAGUCAGACUGCC